rnacentral:rRNA from 1 species
UGGGGAAUUUUGCGCAAUGGGCGAGAGCCUGACGCAGCAACGCCGCGUGGGUGAUGAAGGUCUUCGGAUCGUAAAAACCUGUCGUCAGGGACGAAGGUCACGAGUUUAAGAGAUGCGUGACUUGACGGUACCUGGAGAGGAAGCCACGGCUAACUCUGUGCCAGCAGCCGCGGUAAUACAGAGGGGGCAAGCGUUAUUCGGAAUUAUUGGGCGUAAAGGGCGCGUAGGCGGUGUCUUAAGUGAGAUGUGUAAUCCCCGGGCUUAACUUGGGAACUGCAUCUCAAACUGGUGCGCUAGAGUACUGGAGAGGGUGGUAGAAUUCCACGUGUAGCGGUGAAAUGCGUAGAGAUGUGGAGGAAUACCAGUGGCGAAGGCGGCCACCUGGACAGUAACUGACGCUGAGGCGCGAAAGUGUGGGGAGCAAACA